CAGCAGCCGCGGUAAAACGUAGGGUGCAAGCGUUAAUCGGAAUUACUGGGCGUAAAGCGUGCGCAGGCGGUUAUAUAAGACAGAUGUGAAAUCCCCGGGCUCAACCUGGGAACUGCAUUUGUGACUGUAUAGCUAGAGUACGGCAGAGGGGGAUGGAAUUCCGCGUGUAGCAGUGAAAUGCGUAGAUAUGCGGAGGAACACCGAUGGCGAAGGCAAUCCCCUGGGCCUGUACUGACGCUCAUGCACGAAAGCGUGGGGAGCAAACAGGAUUAGAUACCCGCGUAGUCCCUGUCUCUUAUAC
rnacentral:rRNA from 1 species